AGCUGGGAGGAAUCGGUUCAUGCAACAAGCCCGGGGUGCGCCGGCCAGCUGGCAGGAGCGCUCCAGAGCCAGGGUGCCAGAUCCCAAACAGCUGCAUCACUGCUCAUCCAUCUGUAGCACACACCAUAUGCCAAACCCCAAACCUGGACGCCCACAUGAUUUAGAAUUGGUGCAAAAUAGUAAGGGAGCAGUGUUCUUGAUCGACUUCAGGAAACCGUUUCUCAGAUGGCAAGGCUCCAGUGGCCAUGGGAAGAUGGAAUGGCACUCCGUGGUCACUCGGAGAUGGCAGUGCUGACCUCCGAUGCAGAUUCCAGGCCAUGUUUGGAGCUGGGCAUGCUGUUAUUUGAUACAUCUCUCAUCAGGUAAGUCCCCUUUUUGGAAUCAUUUCAGAGUAAGUCCCCUGCUCCCCCUGCCCC